rnacentral:pre_miRNA from 1 species
UUUGAGGGGAAUGUUGUCUGGCUCGAGGCCACCAACACUAUCAACUGAGGCCGAUGGAUCGAUCUCAUCAGAUCUAGAUAACAUAGCUGAGAUCACUCAAUUAGGUGUAGGUGUCGUCGGACCAGGCUUCAUUCCCCUCAAU